rnacentral:rRNA from 1 species
UACGAAGGUCCCAAGCGUUGUUCGGAAUCACUGGGCGUAAAGGGAGCGUAGGCGGCGCGGUAAGUCAGAUGUGAAAUCCCGGGGCUCAACCUCGGAACUGCAUCCGAUACUGCCAUGCUAGAGGAUUGGAGAGGUAGCUGGAAUUCUUGGUGUAGCAGUGAAAUGCGUAGAGAUCAAGAGGAACACUCCUGGCGAAAGCGAGCUACUGGACAAUAACUGACGCUGAGGCUCGAAGGCUAGGGUAGCGAAAGGG